rnacentral:lncRNA from 10 species
GUUUUCGUCCACGAUAGUCUCGUCGAAGUCGAAGGAGGAACGUGUCAGCAGGUGGGGUUUCUGCCAGAGUCCGAAGCAAGCGGGCAGCAGGAGAAGCAGUGGGGCUUGGGGAGGUAAGAGCCUCCCGCACCAGGCCAUGACACACCUGGGAGACAGUCUCCAAGGCAGAAAGUCAGGCAUCUUGGGUUUCUUCCCCAGAAAACUGAGAAGGCCAUGCUGUGACACCUCGUCCCCACCCCACAGGAGUCAGAGGAACCCCUUCCCCAGUUGGAAUUUGGCUCCUGUGAUGCUCCAAAAGGUCUCUCACCUCUGACACCUUUGUUCUGAGUCAUCAAAUCCUUUUGUGGUCACCAAACAGAGUCCCUCAGAGUAGGGGGCAGGAUCUGAGCUUCUCUCACAGGCCAGAGCAGGGAGAAGGGCUUCUGGGGGGUUGCAGGGAGUCCAUAUUCUAGUCCCACCUAAAAGCAGUGCCUGCCUCCUUAAUUCUGCACCGGGUCACAGAUCCCUGCCUGCUUCUCCCGCCUUUCACACAAAUGCUCUUAGAUUAAAUCUGUGGGAAGGGGGUGGGAGGGAAACAGGCCCCUCUCUGAUACAGGCCCUAAGUUUCAAAUUCCCCUCUUACUGGGCAGAUGGAGUUCCUAGAAAAGUUUUGGGAUAGUUUUCCAAAGGAAAUGUGCAGAAUGAGGAUGGGGAGGCGAGGACUCCAGAAAGACCACAGUAACAAGCCCUCUCUGUCCAAAAACAAGUCUCCUUGUAUCAAUCACUAGAAAUCAGAUCCAACAACUAAGCUAGAAUUCCCUCCCUUUCCCAGACAGUGCUCCCAAACAUGACCAUCUUCCUUGCUCACCACGCCCGAGCAGCAGAUAGGAAAAACAGAGGCCCAGAGAGGUCAGGCUAACAUCCUAGGGGUCACACAGCAUCGGAACCGCGAUUAGAACUCAGGAGUCUCUGGCGCCUCUUGGGAGAAUUGCAGCUGGAGCUCCCCCCUUGGCCCUGGAGACUCCAGUGGGCAGGGAGCUUGCGGUCCUGACCAGCUGGCGGUGGUGGCCCUGCGCCCUGGUGCCAGUGAGGCGUCUGGGUCUAGCAGUCACCUCUGGGCACUCCCUGGGUGGGAGGACAAGCUGGGAGGGGAUCCUAGGGGCAGGGGCAGGGGCAGGGAGGUGGCAGCUGCCGGUAGGGUUGGGGGAGAGAUAUUUUUAGAGGUGACUAGGAAGCCAGCACUCUGGCGCACCCCCGGCUGGCGGGCGCUGGGCUCCAAUGCGGGCGGGGGGUGCGCGGCUCGGGGAGGGGUAUUGUGGGUGGCAGGGAGCAAGGGGACACCAAUUCCUUGGCUUUGUCAGAGUCGGGGACGGAGGGAUACCCCAGCACUAUGUUCCUGGGUAGGAGAGAGAAGGGGACUCACUCCUGAGCUCCAGAACUCCCCCAGUGCCACGCGCGUGAAGGAGCGCCUUCAAACUCCACAGCCCCCACCCCGCGCCGGGACCCCAGCCCUCCCCUAUCUCCCGGAGCCCAGGACUCACGUGGGGGCGGCGGCAGCAGAGGUCUGUCCCGGCUGAGUUUGGAGUGUAAGAAGUGGGGAAG